UACGUAGGGUGCGAGCGUUAAUCGGAAUUACUGGGCGUAAAGCGUGCGUAGGCGGUUCGUUAAGUUCGUUGUGAAAGCCCCGGGCUCAACCUGGGAAUGGCAAUGGAAACUGGCGGGCUGGAGUAUGGCAGAGGGGGGUGGAAUUCCGCGUGUAGCAGUGAAAUGCGUAGAGAUGCGGAGGAACACCGAUGGCGAAGGCAGCCCCCUGGGCCAAUACUGACGCUCAGGUACGAAAGCGUGGGGAGCAAACAGG
rnacentral:rRNA from 1 species